GCGGAUGUAGCUCAGUGGUAGAGCAUCUCCUUGCCAAGGAGAGGGCCGAGAGUUCGAGUCUCUUCAUCCGCU
rnacentral:tRNA from 7 species